rnacentral:rRNA from 1 species
UACGUAGGGGGCAAGCGUUGUCCGGAUUUAUUGGGCGUAAAGAGCGUGUAGGCGGCCAGGUAGGUCUGCUGUGAAAACUCGAGGCUUAACCUCGAGCUGUCGGCGGAAACCAUUUGGCUAGAGUCCGGAAGAGGAGAAUGGAAUUCCCGGUGUAGCGGUGAAAUGCGCAGAUAUCGGGAAGAACACCCGUGGCGAAGGCGGCUUCCUGGACCGACACUGACGCUGAGGCGCGAAAGCUAGGGGAGCAAACGGG